rnacentral:rRNA from 1 species
GAUGAACGCUGGCGGCGUGCUUAACACAUGCAAGUCGAACGGAAAGGCUCCUGCCUGCAGGGGUACUCGAGUGGCGAACGGGUGAGUAACACGUGGGUGAUCUGCCCUGUACUUCGGGAUAAGCUUGGGAAACUGGGUCUAAUACCGGAUAUGACAAUCUCUUGGAUGGGGUUGUGGAAAGCUUUUGCGGUAUGGGAUGAGCUCGCGGCCUAUCAGCUUGUUGGUGGGGUAAUGGCCUACCAAGGCGUCGACGGGUAGCCGGCCUGAGAGGGUGUACGGCCACAUUGGGACUGAGAUACGGCCCAGACUCCUACGGGAGGCAGCAGUGGGGAAUAUUGCACAAUGGGCGCAAGCCUGAUGCAGCGACGCCGCGUGGGGGAUGACGGCCUUCGGGUUGUAAACUCCUUUCGCAAACGACGAAGCUUUUGUGACGGUAGGUUGAGAAGAAGCACCGGCUAACUACGUG